rnacentral:tRNA from 1 species
GCUGGGCUGGCUCAGUGGUAGAGCGCUUGCCUCAUAUGUGUGAAGCACUGGGUUUGAUUCUCAGCACUGCA